AUUCUGCCAGUAGUCAUAUGCUUGUCUCAAAGAUUAAGCCAUGCAUGUCUAAGUUUAAGCAAUUAAACGGCGAAACUGCGAAUGGCUCAUUAAAUCAGUUAUCGUUUAUUUGAUAGUACCUUACUACUUGGAUAACCGUGGUAAUUCUAGAGCUAAUACAUGCGAAAAAUCCCGACUUCGGAAGGGAUGUAUUUAUUAGAUAAAAAACCAAUGCCCUUUGGGCUCCUUGGUGAUUCAUAAUAACUCAACGAAUCGCAUGGCCUUGCGCCGGCGAUGGUUCAUUCAAAUUUCUGCCCUAUCAACUUUCGAUUGGAAGGUAGUGUCCUCCAAUGGUUUCGACGGGUAACGAAGAAUUAGGGUUCGAUCUCGGAGAGGAAGCCUGAGAAACGGCUUACACAUCCAAGGAAGGCAGCAGGCGCGCAAAUUACCCAAUCCCAAUUCGGGGAGGUAGUGACAAUAAAUACUGAUGCAGGGCUCUUUAGGGUCUUGCAAUUGGAAUGAGUACAAUUUAAAUCCCUUAACGAGGAACAAUUGGAGGGCAAGUCUGGUGCCAGCAGCCGCGGUAAUUCGAGCUCCAAUAGCGUAUAUUAAAGUUGUUGCAGUUAAAAAGCUCGUAGUCGAACUUCGGAACGGACGGAACCAGCCUUCUCUUCGCCUUCCCUCGCGGGAGGACGGGGAGGGGGCCCGUCGAGCGGCGCCGGUCCGCCCCUUCGGGGGCGAGCACCGGUCCGCGCGUUCCCUCCGGUCGGCGGCUCGCCCCCGCUCUUGACUGAGCCGGGGGUAUUCCCUCCCCCCCGAGGGGUUCGGGGGGCGUCCUCGGUCCGGGUCCGUCCCGGCGAGCGGCGUCCCUUCCCUCGGGGGAGGGUUUCGCGCGGGGCCGGAAGGGAGGGCGUCCCCCUCUCGGAGAGGGCCGGGGGGAGGGAGGGCUUCGGCCUUUCCUCUCCUUCCCUCUCCCUCGUUCUCGGUUCUCGCGGAGCUCCGACCCGUUUACCUCGAAUAAAUCAGAGUGUUCAAAGCGGGCAAGUCCAGGCCCGAAUACGUCAGCAUGGGAUAAUGGAACAGGACUCGGGUCCUAUUUUUCCGUCGGUUCGUAAGGCUCGAGUAAUGAUCGAUAGGGACGGUCGGGGGCGUUGGUAUUUAAUUGUCAGAGGUGAAAUUCUCGGAUUCAGGAAAGACCGACUUCAGCGAAAGCAUUCGCCAAGGACGUUUUCAUUGAUCAAGAACGAAAGUUAGGGGAUCGAAGACGAUCAGAUACCGUCGUAGUCUUAACCAUAAACGAUGCCGACCGGGGAUCGGGAGACGCCGCGACGAUUUGAGGGCUCUCCGGGCCCCUCGCGGGAAACCUAGAGUCUUUGGGUUCCGGGG
rnacentral:rRNA from 1 species